rnacentral:rRNA from 1 species
CGGGGUUGAGGACCAUCAGACCCGCGAAGAACCUUAGCCGAAACUGUUGGGAAACAGUGCCAAAGACAGUGAAAGCCUGGUAGGCGAAAAAGAGAAACGCGGAGAUGGCACCAGAGUACCGCGGGACACGAGAAAUCCCGUGGGAAACAGGGGGGACCACCCUCCAAGGCAAAACACAGAUAUCGACCGAUAGCGCAUAGUACCAUGAGGGAAAGGUGAAAAGCACCCCGGGAGGGGAAUGAAAGAGAACCUGAAACCGUAUGUUUACAAGCAGUCGGAGACCGCUUAAUAAUAAGGUCGACGGCGUGCCUAUUGAAGAAUGAACCGGCGAGUUACGAAGCCUGGCAAGGUUAAGCAGGAAAUGCGGAGCCGAAGCGAAAGCGAGUCUUAAGAGGGCGCAAGUCAGGAAGCGUAGACCCGAAACCACAGUGAUCUACCCAUGUCCAGGUUGAAACACAGGUAAAAAUGUGUGGAGGACCGAACCUAUAUCCGUUGAAAAGGGUUAGGAUGAGGUGUGGGUAGGGGUGAAAUUCCAAUCGAACGUGGAGAUAGCUGGUUCUCCUCGAAAUAGCUUUAGGGCUAGCCUCAGGGAAAAGAUUGCAGGCGGUAGAGCACUGAUCAGGAGAGGGACCUACCCGGUUACCAAACCCAGUCAAACUCCGAAUGGCUGCAAUCAUACCUGGGAGUCAGACUGCGACUAAUAAGGGCCGCAGUCAAAAGGGAAACAGCCCAGACCAUCAGCUAAGGUCCCCAAUGCCGUGCUAAGUGGCGAAGGAUGUGGCAUUUCAUAAACAACCAGGAUGUUGGCUCAGAAGCAGCCACCAUUUAAAGAGUGCGUAAUAGCUCACUGGUCGAGAGACGCUGCGCCGAAAAUGUCCGGGGCUCAAGCACGGAACCGAAGCUAUGGCAUGAUAGCAAUAUCAUGGGUAGGGGAGCGUUCUUAUAAGGAAGAAGCAUGACCGGAAGGACAUGUGGACAAAUAAGAAGUGAGAAUGCCGGUAUGAGUAUCGAAAAGAAAGGUGAGAAUCCUUUCCACCGAAAGCCCGAGGGUUCCUGAGCAACGAUCGUCGACUCAGGGUAAGUCGGGACCUAAGCCGAGGCGAGAAGCGUAGGCGAUGGACAACAGGUUGAAAUUCCUGUACCGGAUCAAGUCGAUCGAGCGAAGGAGCGACGCAGGAGGGCACAUGAUCGCGCGGGUGGAAGAGCGCGUCCAAGUGCGUAUGUUGCUGCAGAGGAAAACCCCUGCAGCUAAAAGCAGAGACAUGAUGGGGAGUUAAAGGGAACUUUGACGAACUCAUGAAUCCCACACUGCCAAGAAAAACUUCUAGCGAGACAAGAUCCGCCCGUACCGUAAACCGACACAGGUAGGCGGGGAGAGAAUCCUAAGGUGCGCGGGAAAACCCUCGUUAAGGAACUCGGCAAAUUGCAUCCGUAACCUAGGGAGAAGGAUGGCCCCCGGUCAGUGAAGAGCAGAAACGCUCAGAGCUAAAAGGGGCGGCAGAAAAGAGGCCCAAGCAACUGUUUACCAAAAACACAGGUGCCUGCGAAAGCGAAAGCUGAAGUAUAGGUGCUGACGCCUGCCCGGUGCCGGAAGGUUAAGGAGAGAAGUUAGCGAAAGCGAAGCAUCGAACUGAAGCCCCGGUGAACGGCGGCCGUAACUAUAACGGUCCUAAGGUAGCGAAAUUCCUUGUCGGGUAAGUUCCGACCCGCAUGAAAGGCGUAAUGAUUUGGGCACUGUCUCAACGAGGGGCCCGGUGAAAUUGAAAUACCUGUGAAGAUGCAGGUUACCCGCGACUGGACAGAAAGACCCCAUGGAGCUUCACUGCAGCUUGAGAUUGAAUCCCGGUGACAGAUGCACAGGAUAGGUGGGAGGCGCCGAAGCAUUGCCCUAGGGCGGUGCGGAGCCGAUGUUGGGAUACCACCCUUCUGUUGCUGAGAUUCUAACGCGAGGAGUAACGACCCUGCGGACCCUCUCAGGCAGGCGGUUUGACUGGGGCGGUCGCCUCCGAAAGAGUAACGGAGGCGCCCAAAGGUUCCCUCAGGCCGGACAGAAACCGGCCGAAGAGUGCAAAGGCAGAAGGGAGCUUGACUGCGAGACCCACAAGUCGAGCAGAGACGAAAGUCGGGCUUAGUGAUCCGGUGGUACUGGGUGGAAAGGCCAUCGCUCAACGGAUAAAAGCUACCCUGGGGAUAACAGGCUAAUCUCUCCCAAGAGUUCAUAUCGACGGGGAGGUUUGGCACCUCGAUG